AACCGCUGAAGGCAUCUAAGCGGGAAGCCCCCCUCAAAACAAGGUAUCCCCGAGGGCCGUGGUAGACCACCACGUCGAUAGGCCGGAGAUGUAAGCGCAGCAAUGCGUUCAGUUGACCGGUACUAAUUGCCCGAUAGGCUUGAUUUG
rnacentral:rRNA from 1 species